GAUGAACGCUGGCGGCGUGCCUAAUACAUGCAAGUCGAGCGAACAGACGAUGAGCUUGCUCCUCUGACGUUAGCGGCGGACGGGUGAGUAACACGUGGAUAACCUACCUAUAAGACUGGGAUAACUUCGGGAAACCGGAGCUAAUACCGGAUAAUAUAUUGAACCGCAUAGAUCAAUAGUGAUUGGCGGUUUUGCUGUCACUUAUAGAUGGAUCCGCGCCGCAUUAGCUAGUUGGUAAGGUAACGGCCUACCAAGGCGACGAUGCGUAGCCGACCUGAGAGGGUGAUCGGCCACACUGGAACUGAGACACGGUCCAGACUCCUACGGGAGGCAGCAGUAGGGAAUCUUGCGCAAUGGGCGAAAGCCUGACGGAGCAACGCCGCGUGAGUGAUGAAGGUCUUCGGAUCGUAAAACUCUGUUAUUAGGGAAGAAAAAAUGUGUAAGUAACUAUGCACGUCUUGACGGUACCUAAUCAGAAAGCCACGGCUAACUACGUG
rnacentral:rRNA from 1 species